rnacentral:lncRNA from 1 species
GAUCUUCAGGAAGAGAUACUGCGUCCGCUGACCUGAGAAACAGCAGGGAAAAGGAAUGCUCACAAGAGAUGGUGGCAGAGAAGUUGCAAAGCGGGGUGCGAGAGCGCCUGCCCCGAUGCCAUGUGCGCGGCGCGACAGCGGCCCUGCCCCGUCCUUCCGCAGGGCUGCAAUUAGCACGGGAAGGAGAGACCAACCCUCGUUUGCAAAUGUUAACGCCAAAGGUCUCGUUUAAG